rnacentral:lncRNA from 1 species
CGUCUUCGUCCUGGCGAGCGGGCGAUCGCGGCCAGUGCUACUUGGCGGUACGGAGUGGCCGGUGGGCGAGCGUGCGCACGAGGCCCUGCUUUUCACGUCCCUCGUGCCGCUAUAACCUUGGAAGAGCCCCUUUUUUCCUCGACUCUGUUGUGUCCCCUCACGAACUCUGGUCCCACUCACCUAACCGCCCCGCUUUUGCCCCACUGCAUGCUGCGCUCUCUCCGCUUCCCCGGCGGACAGCGGGGACCAGUCGGCGCCCCUGCAUCCCGGCCCCGGUAGGUUCCAGAGUAAGAAAGCCCGGGCCAGGCUAUCGCCCAUUCUGCCUGCGGCCUGCUGUAUUAUCACCACCCCGCCAAAAAGAAAGGGAAGUAGGUUGGUUUGCUUGGGAGGAUUCGCUUUUAGAUGUGAUUCAGCUGUUAUUUUCCUUAGUCACACACCACGCAUCAGAGACUCUAGAAGUCUCGAAACUGACUCCCAAAGAAAGACCUGGAACUUUAUCCCUACAAGGAAUAUCGGCGAUUGUGGGUGAUCAUCUCCUGGAAGCAAGAAGUCAUGGAGGAGAACUCUUCUGCAGGAUAGGAGGAGAAAAAGAUGGCAGUAUGCUUUGGUUAUAAGAAACAAGCACUUUUGAGAAAGCUUAAGAAGAUUUGAAAGGAUAAAGAGAUACUUUCAUAAUAUUAAAGGGAUUCCAAUUAUAUUUUAAGAAAUGAAGUUUGCAAGAUCAUGGCUGGUUCACAGCAAAGUGGAGACACAUGAAUCCUUUUCAUGAGUGGUCGAAAUGGCCAUCCUCU